AGCGAACGCUGGCGGCAGGCCUAACACAUGCAAGUCGAACGAAGUCUUCGGACUUAGUGGCGGACGGGUGAGUAACACGUGGGAACGUGCCUUUAGGUUCGGAAUAACUCAGGGAAACUUGUGCUAAUACCGAAUGUGCCCUUCGGGGGAAAGAUUUAUCGCCUUUAGAGCGGCCCGCGUCUGAUUAGCUAGUUGGUGGGGUAAUGGCCCACCAAGGCUACGAUCAGUAGCUGGUCUGAGAGGAUGACCAGCCACAUUGGGACUGAGACACGGCCCAAACUCCUACGGGAGGCAGCAGUGGGGAAUCUUGCGCAAUGGGCGAAAGCCUGACGCAGCCAUGCCGCGUGGAUGAUGAAGGUCUUAGGGUUGUAAAAUCCUUUCACCGGUGAAGAUAAUGACUGUAGCCGGAGAAGAAGCCCCGGCUAACUUCGUGCCAGCCGCCGCUGUAAGAC
rnacentral:rRNA from 1 species